rnacentral:rRNA from 1 species
GCUUACAGCCACACCAGUGUGAAUGCACCCAAUCUCGUCUGAUUUGGGAAAAUAAACAAGCUUGGGCUCAGCCAGUACUUGAAUGGGUGACCGUCUGGGAACACCGAGUGCUGUAAGCU